GUUUUGGUUUUUGAAAGAAAUAAGCUAAUAACUCCCCUUUACCUGGAAGAGGGGGGAAACCUUAAUUCUUUGUCCAGCUUAGCUGCUGUGCUGUGAUUUUAAGUAAAGUGUCUACUAUGAAUAAACAGAAAGUAAAGAAGAUGUCUGUCACAAAGGUCGAAGACACGAUGGCUCUGAAAUGGGCAAGAGCAGUAAAUCGUGCGGAGGAGAAGAGGUAUGCCGAGAAGAUCAAAGUCCUCCAAAAAGCGGCGUGUCUAAGCUCCUACGAAAUGGACCGAGAAAAAGCCACACUUCUGAAGUUUCUGGAAAAAGUUCAGAUGACUACAGGGCACCUAAACAAAGACACUCCCUUAUUAAAUUCACACGCAGGAGCACAAAACAACCCGUCAUCCAAAUAACUCCAGACCUACUGGAUACUGCAGCUUCUGCUGAAAUUAUUUCUUUGGUGAUUGGAGAAGUUUCAACCAGAUUAUUUGCUGUGUAGAAAUGCUAGACUGCAUUCCUUGAAGAAUAUGGUUUUAUUAAGAUAGUGAAUUCUGCCUUGGACAUCAGCACCAAUCUAAGCAACUCCGUUUGAAUAAACCAUGGAACAUCCUGGAAAAGGCGAAACAUGAACUCUGCUUUAAAAGAUCUGCCUGAAAUUUGUAGUCUCUGCAAAUCUGAUGAAUUAUCUCAAAUUCCUGAGCACAUCACUAAAAUCAAGGCUUUAUUUCAACUAGAACUCACCGCAACUCAGUUCCAACACUUCUUAGGUGGGCGCCAUUACCAUUAUAAGAGAACAAGGGAGACUUUCAUGGUGAGUUCCGGCACCUCUUUUUUCUAAAAAAAUAGCACCGACUAAAACCUUUUCAAAACAACACUUGAAGUGCUUGGAGCGGGGAGAGAUUUAAAAAGCAAAAGCAACAACAGCAUUGUAAGUUUUUCUUUGGCUUUGAGAGUCAUUUUGAUCCCCCAAACAAGACUGCUGGUAGGAUAAGCAAAAAAGUUUCCUGUUUCCAGUCACCAAAAUGCAGCAGAAAUAUUAUCAGAAUUCCGGAUUUCUGGAAGAUGACCAGGAAGAAUUGGGACUAUGCAAAUUGCACCCAUCAGGUGUUUCUCAAUACAAAGCUUGCUACCUUCUCAAGCUGUAACCCUAUGAUCGCUUACUAAGGAGUAAGGCCCAUGUAACUCAAUGCGAUUUACUUCUGAGGAUGCUCAUACUAUGAAGAUAUAUCAAAGGAGUGUGAGCGGGUCAAGAAUUAAAAACAAAACUUCUAACUUAUACUCUUCUGAUCCAGCCCCCUUCUCCGGGCUGUCAAUAUUCUUAACUAUGGAUGUUUCGGGUGGGGGUGGUGUGUGUGUGUGUGUGUGUGUGUGUGUGUGUGUGUGUGUAAGGGAAGUAUCAAGGUAUAAAAACAUUGCAUUUGACUACAAUCUAAAUCAGCAAGACCAAAUGUUUGUACCAGAUUAUUGAAAACUCUCAAAAUUCAAAAGCAGUUUUGAUAAGUUUUAGAAAACGAAAAACAGGUUUUAACAGUUUUCACUAGAACUGUAUGUAUUUUGCCAAGGCAUACUAACCUGACAGAAACAGAUGCUUACUGCUUUUUUUAAAGGGGGUAUUAUGCUGAGGAAAGGGCAGAAACCUUGCCAAAUUUCUCCUAGAUUUCGGGACAAGGGCAAAUUACAUUCAAAUGGUAAAUUAUAUGUAAACCUGUAUCCAUAUCACCUCACCGUGUAGUCUUAUUGGGUUUUCAUGUUUUUUAUCUGCAAAAAAGCAGUUUAAAGAAUGAUGAUGAUACUGAUAACAAAAACAGUUUGUUAGGAUGUGCAUGCCACAUUUCACUUAGAGAAAAAAAUACUAAGGCAACAAACAACUAAAAGUGAGCAGCAGUUUAAUUUUAUUUAUUCGGUUUAAUUUCACUCUGACCCAAACUGGUAUAUCUGAACAUAUGUUUAUCUGAGCCAGUUCCUUAUGUGGAUUCUUUUCAUUUUCUUUUCACGACAUGUUUCCAUCUUUGGUUAAUAGUUUCAUUAUUCCAGUUCUAUAUAUAAUCAGUUUCUUACAUUUUCCUUUUCUAAUCUAAUAGAGUUUCCCAUCAGUAGAACAUAACCUUUUAGUGCCAAACACCUUGAGUGUUACAAAAAGAUAUAGCUAAAACUGUAGCAAUUAUUAAGGAGGCAUUGAAAUACUGAGCCAAAACACAAGGGUCUUGCCAGUAGGAGACAUGAUACAUCAUGGAAGAGAUUACUAGAUGGAAGCACAAUAUUCCCUGUACUGCUGUCAAAAUCUUUUAAAAUCUCAUGUCUUAGUGUCGUGUAUACCCCCACACACCAAUUAAUAUCAAAUGUAAGAUGGGUGGGGACCAGAAAGAGAUCAUCCUUGGUUGCCCCCCCCCCCCCCGCCACCCACUCCAUUUGUGGAAUUCACUUCCCAGAGAGGCCUGUCUGGUGACUCCAGCAAUAUCCUUGAAGUGUAGGCAAAAAUGAAUUUUUGCUCUCAGACUUUUAAAUAUACAGUGGUACCUUGGUUUAAGAACAGCCCUGUUUAUGAACUAUUUGGUAUAAGAACUCUGCAAAACCGGAAGUAGUGUUCCGAUUAGCAAACCUCAGUCUAUGAACGGAAGCCAAAUGGUGGAAGGGCACUGGCAGAGGGAUGCCUCAUUAGGGAAAGCGCACCUCGGUUUAAGAACGGGCUUCCGGAACGGAUUAAGUUUGUAAACCAAGGUACCACUGUAUACCCACUUACCUCCAUGGCUUUUUACUUCUGAGUAGACAUGUAUAGGAUUGUGCUGCUAAUGUAUUUGUUUUUGUAAUAUUCUAUAUGUCUAUUUUAACUUGUGCUUAUAAACCAUUCGAGCAGCUUUGCUGACAUCACAGAAACACGAUCAGUCUCCAGUGAACCUCACCCCAAGGAAACUAAACCCAAGAGAUGUGCAAGACCUGUGAAACCUCUCAUUACUCAAAGACUGGAAUGCGUUUAGCAAUAUAUUCAUUCCCUCUGUGUUGUGCAUUAAUACAAUGGAAACAGCUUGGCUUGUGGAAUAAAGCUCUUUUAAAACAUUGAGACUUAACUCUAGACAAACCUGUUCAGGAACAAAAGAACAUUUUACACUUAUUUAAAUCGUCAGAAGAGAGUCAGAAUUGGACCACUGAUGUACCAUCUCCUGGAUUCCACUUUGUAUGUUAAAAAAGAUUUACUUCAUAUGAGUAUUUGACCAAGGAUUCUCAAUGCAAAUAAUCUUUAAUGAUAUUGGAGACAAAAACAAAUAUAAAUAGUAGAAUUGGUGGAUGCAAAUACAUGUCAGAGAAAAUUAUUAUUAUCAUCAUCAUUUUUUGAAGUAAACGUGAUUUUACAAUUCCCAUAUUCAGCACAUAUGCCAGUGUGUGCUGAAGACUCUCUAUCAUACCUAUAGUUUAGGCCAGGCUAGUUCAAUGCUUAAAUACAUGCCUAAAGCAUUACCCAUAACCUGACAGGAAAUCGCUGAUAUGAGAAUGUUUCUGGCAAGUCUGCCACUCAGAAAACAAGAGCCUAACUAAGUGCCUGGCACUUUGCCACCAAUUCUUCUAAACACUGAGGUUGCAAUAGUUCUCCCACUUAUGCAUGCACAAUUCCCACUAGCCUCAGUGAUGCUGAAUACAGGAUAGGCAUCUAAGGCCCCAUCUGCACUACUUUAAAGCUGUAUCGUGCCACUUGAAAUGGUCAUGGCUUCCCCCAAACAAUCCUGGGAAGUCUAGUCGGUUAAGGAUUCUGACAUUUGCUGGGAGACCCCCUAUUCCCUUCAAAGAUCUACAACUCUCAGAGUGGUUUAACCAUCAAUCCCUUUUCCCAGGGAACUCUGGGAGUAUAACUGUGAGGGGAAUAGGAAUCCUCUAAACAACUCUCAACAUCCUUAAAAACACUUCUCUUCUCAGGAUUCUUUGCUGGAAGCCAUGAUUGUCUAAAGUGGUAUUGUACUGCUUUAACUGUAUAGCGCAGAUGUGGCAUUAGAUUCGUAAUUUAAGUCGACACACAGUUCUAUACUGAAGUCAAAGUUUCUUUUCUUAUUAAGUGAUGGGGAAAGGUUUAAAAGGAAAGUGGAAGAAAUUUUCAGCACAGCACUUGUUCUCGCAAAUAACUUUACCAGCAUUUAGUCAUCACUGCACUCAAAGAAUCACAUUUGUAUACAGCAUGACUGAUCCUUCAUUUUCUAACGAAAUUUAUGUUAACAUUCACUUUUGGAUAUAAAGCUUUUCGUUUCCCAUCACCACAUUUUGCAACUGACUUAAAUAGGAGCAGGAUUGCACCCAAUAGCUUACAUUGUAGUCUUCUUUGUUUCCAUUUUAUAUGUUAAUAUAGUUUGAUAAAUCAGCUAACACUGUCGAUAUAUAAAAUUGUGGUUGUUUUUUAAAAAAAGAAAUGGUAAACAUUUUAACCAGAAGCCACAGAUUUUCUGCACAAAUGUGUUAUUGGUGAAGAUUCUACUCCAGUCUUAAUAUUAAAAUAUCAUGAUG